rnacentral:rRNA from 1 species
UGGGGAAUUUUGCACAAUGGAGGAAACUCUGAUGCAGCGACGCCGCGUGAGUGAUGAAGAUCUUCGGAUUGUAAAACUCUGUCCUUAGUGAAGAUAAUGACAGUAACUAAGAAGCAAGCCCUGGCUAAAUACGUGCCAGCAGCCGCGGUAAUACGUAUGGGGCAAGCGUUGUCCGGAAUUAUUGGGCGUAAAGGGUACGUAGGCGGUUUAAUAAGUCCUAAUUAAAAGGCUAUGGCUCAACCAUAGUAUGGUUAGGAAACUGUUGAACUUGAGUAGAUGAGGGGAAAGUGGAAUUCCAUGUGUAGCGGUGAAAUGCGUAGAUAUAUGGAGGAACACCAAUGGCGAAGGCAACGUUCUGGAAUCAAACUGACGCUGAGGUACGAAGGCGUGGGGAGCAAACAGG